GGAUUAGAUACCCUGGUAGUCCACGCCGUAAACGAUGAGUGCUAGUUGUCGGGAGGUUGCCUCUCGGUGACGCAGCUAACGCGUUAAGCACUCCGCCUGGGGAGUACGGCCGCAAGGCUAAAACUCAAAGAAAUUGACGGGGGCCCGCACAAGCGGUGGAGCAUGUGGUUUAAUUCGAAGCAACGCGCAGAACCUUACCGGCCCUUGACAUGGGAAGUUUGAUUAUCGGAGACGAUUUUCUUCAGUUCGGCUGGCUUCCACACAGGUGCUGCAUGGCUGUCGUCAGCUCGUGCCG
rnacentral:rRNA from 1 species